AAUUUCAGGCAGUCCUUACCGAUCACAACUAAACCCUGGUCUGGGUGGUUACAAAAGGAGGAAAAAUAAAAUUGAAACUGCUGUAAAUUCUUUAGUGACAUACGGAGCUAGUUUUUUUUAACG
rnacentral:snoRNA from 1 species